CCCCGAGGCCACCGCACCCCCCCCCCCCCCCUCCCGGGGAGAACAUCGCCCGCCUCCCCCUUCCCCGCGGCCCCAGGAGGUUCCCGCCCGCAGGGCCCCCCGGGAACGAGGGCUCUGGGGCCCGCCGGGGCUCCGGCCACGGGCCCGCUCCGGCCGCGGGGAGCCGGGGCUCUGCCGGGGCAGGGAAGAACGGGGGCAGCCGCUCCCUCGUUCCUCCCGUGCUCCGGGACCCCGAGCAGAGCUGCCCGUCUGUCCCCGUGUCCCUGUGUCUGUCCUCAGGCGGCCCCAGGAGCUGGCACUGACCGUGCCGCGGCUCGGGCACAGGCUGCUCCCAGCUCUGCCUGCGGAACUUCGGCAAUUGCCCACAGCAGUUCUUUGCCCCGCCAUCCCGAAGGGGCAGCUCAGCUGACACCUGCCAGACAGGGAAGGUCCUGCCUGGGAGGGAAACGGCUACAGCAGAGGAAACCAAGAAACGCUCCAACCGGACGCUGCCGUGCGAGUCAAAGGAGGGAAGAACCGCAGGCAAAUACAGUCAGGAAAGCCGCUUUUAUUAAAUCUCUGCAGCAUUAAAUCCCCCCUUCCCAGCCACGGGCCGGAGGGAGCGCGGCCGGCUGGGCUGUGCCCGGCUGGGGACGGGCACCAAUUCAUCGCUGCCCUGCUCAGGGAGGUUUUCUGGCCCCGUCCGGGAUUCACCCAACGGCUGCCAAGGUGCUCGUGUGACCUCCGAGCUCAUUUCCAAGGAUAAAGGAGCCAACCGAGUCCGGAGGGUUCCCUCGCUCCGAGGCAAAGGCGUCGGUCGAGUGUCGCCGCCUGGUCCCGCCUGCGGGGGGGCGUCUCCUCCAGUUUCCCAGGGAGAAGAACAGGAACUCACAGCCACCAAGGCCUGACAGUCCCCUGCAGCCAGAGCUCAGCACACACCCAGAGAGGCAAUUUCAGCAUCUAAAACAA